GAGAUCCUACGGGGGGCAGCAGUGGGGGAUAUUGCACAAUGGAGGAAACUCUGAUGCAGCGACGCCGCGUGAAGGAAGAAGUAUUUCGGUAUGUAAACUUCUAUCAGCAGGGAAGAAAAUGACGGUACCUGACUAAGAAGCCCCGGCUAACUACGUGCCAGCAGCCGCGGUAAUACGUAGGGGGCAAGCGUUAUCCGGAUUUACUGGGUGUAAAGGGAGCGUAGGCGGCGAUGCAAGUCAGAAGUGAAAGCCCGGGGCUCAACUCCGGGACUGCUUUUGAAACUGUGUUGCUAGAUUGCAGGAGA
rnacentral:rRNA from 1 species